rnacentral:tRNA from 1 species
GGGCUCGUAGCUCAACUGGUGGAGCGUGUGCUGUACAAAACCAUAGAUGGCGUCUAUUCGUGGGUUCGAAUCUCACCGAGGUUA